GUUACAUUUCGCCUACUCGACAUUAAAAAACUAUUUGUACUCUUAAGAUGCACUCGUACAAUCUUACACACUCCUGACGUCUAUUCGUACGCAAUCACAGCGAACAUAACGUGGAAUAUAAAGGCAUGCGACUCACGAUUGGAUGCGGAGUCGUUGCCAUCGAUGCUGCAGUAAUUCAGAGAAAGUCGUCACCAAGACAGUCGUCAAGAAGGAACCAUCGAAUCCCAUGGAGAAAUUAAUUAGUUGUCACUUCCAUUAUCUCCUUACUCGAUCAACGACCUGCACAGAAGAUGAUCAAAGAUUUAGAAUUAAUGUAUAAAACUGGACCAAUUGUGACAAAAUAAAGUAAUAGCCAAACUCAAA